AACUCUAGUUCACAAUGAACAGGGACUGAGAAUUGUUCUUGUCAGAAUCUUAUAUCAUGCCCAUGUCUAUUUUAAUUUAUUCAAAAUCUUGGACCUUUGUUUUUUACCUUCAGACAGACUACUUUUCUCCUUUUAAAAUCAAAUUGCCAAUACUGCUCUUCUUGGGAUAAAAGAGAGCCUUACAGUCUCGACUGAAGGGAAGUUUUACAGGGCCAAGGGUAUUUUGGUCUGGUUCUAGCCUUCGAACUGAAGCUACUGGCUAUGGGCUGGUUUUCUUUGUGCAGCUUAUGCUUGCUGGCAUGAAUAAAGAAAUCAAAGGACUAAGGUUCCUCCCUUGACUCCAAAAACUUGUUGCUGUUGAUGACAGUAUCCCUCAAGCCAAUGGCAUAGUAUAGGCCUAUAGAAAUAUAUUCUUACAUUCUCCAUAAUGCACGAUGUGCUGUAAGUGGUUCUGGAAAGAUUACAAUGCUUGUUCUAGAGAAGCUUAUUGGUUAUGGCUCUCUUCCAAUCACAGUAUCAGGUACAUUUAGUUGUCCGUGAAUAUUUUAUACAAUCAAAUUGAGUGAUGGGCUCCAGCAUGUCAAAUUAGUUCCCAAGUCAAAAUACCUCAAAAAGAACAAGCUAUGUUGAUCAUCACAACUCACAAUAUCUAUAUGACCUUUGAGUUUUAGUUGAUAAGGAAUGUAAGGUUCUUCUAUUUCAACUGCAUCUCUCAAAAGUGUUUCUUCCAUCUUAUGUAGAAGACUUGCAAGAGGAGUGAUGCCUUCAAGGUUUUGCAGGUCUUUUAUCUUGCAUCUCGUCAACAAGCAUAAAAAUACAGAAAAAGCUUUCUAUUUCUUUUCACAAUUUUGUUUAUUUGGUUCUUCCACUUUCAGUAUUUCUGAUAUUUAGGGGUUAAUGGCCAUAGUGCAGUUGAGGUUUUGCUGCGGAGGAUUAUUUGAGUAGCAACUCUUGUAACAUGUAUCAAAAUAUUGGACAGAUUCAAAGGGAUAUUUGGUGGAUGAGGAUGGAUUUGAUUACAUGAAAAUAUCUUUUCUGAGAGAUAUCAAAGCGCAGAAGAGAAGUUUGCGAGACUACUCAAAGACUUGUGCUCGAUCAAAGUACUAUGAUGAAGCAAAACCUUGGAGUGUAAGGGGUGAUGUUGCAUUUCCUUGUGGUUACCAGAAUGAAAUCGAUCAAUCUGAUGCCAUUAAUCUGGUUAAUUCAGGCUGUCGUAUCCUUGUACAAGGGCUUGAUGUAGGACUACUUUGGAUUUUUGUCCCACAAAGGGUUGUGGUGAGCCGGGGUUUGUAAUUUGCAGAAUUAGGGUUGACUAGUUUCGUCAAGCGUAGCCGUGGCCAAAUAUGGUCUCAAAGCUGUGUUGCACUUGCAAUCUAUGUUAGAAAGUUGAAGGUGGAUUGAAAAGACUGGUUGUUGCUGGGGAGCUUGAAUUAAACCAUGAGUGCAAUUUGCUGAACUGGUCACCUGAG